rnacentral:lncRNA from 1 species
UGGACAUGUAAACAAUGUUAUAAAGCAUAUAACAAGUAUUAAAACACAUUUAGGGAAGUAGACUCACAAUCUGGGAUGAAAACCCGAAGAUCCGUGAGAGAGUAUUUGGCUUUUCUCUAAAUGGAAAUCAAAUAAUGAACCAAUUUGGUUCAGAAUUCUAUUUAUAGUCCAGAGAUUUUUGGCAGAAAAUAUUUCUAUUCUCGGAAUGGAUUCUAAUGACCUAGAGUAAUGGAAUUACAGUGUUGCACAAAAUCCUAGUGCACCCACUCUCCUAAUAACUCCUUAGGUGUAAAACCCUAAAACUGCCAAACUUAUUCCAAAAGUUUGAAUUUUCACUGAAACUGCUCUACUUCCAUUGGAUUGAUGUGGUUUGAUUUGAAUGGAAAAUUUCGGGUUGUCACAGUUAAGGGGUAUGAACUCACCUGCAGUAUGUGACUGGAAUUGAACGGGCUGUUAUCGUACGGAAGGAUCAGACAAGUGCUUGGUGUCAAGUGAAGACUUAGACACACACAAUGAUCCUAAUUACAUAUGAAACAUAUGUAUAUAAAUAAUUAGUGAUUAUAACACUAAUUAUACAAGUAAUAACAUUUAAGCGCGAGGACAACACUUUUGGUCAAGUGCUAGGAGGCUAAUGGGUUGCAACAAAGAAGUGCAAUGCCCCUAAUGAAAGUUUAAGGUCAAAAGACCAUAUUCAUUAGAGUUUACGGCCCAGGGGAGUAAGCUCCUGGCCGUAAACUCUCAAACAAGUCAUGAAAUGGAGUUUAGAAGUACUACAACCUUAGAGGGGAAUUGUUUCAAGGCUAUACAAGUGUUUGGGCACCACAUUGACUCCUUUGGGGAGUUUACGGCCCAAAGACCCUUCUCCCUUGGAGUUUACGGCCGUAAACUCCCUUGGGAGGGUUCUUAUUGUCCUUUCAAGUCUCUAACAUUUCUAGGAACAAGUCUAGGCUUCAAUACUUGGAUCAAGGGAGGUUUAUGGCAUUAAAUGGAACCAUUUGAUGGAGUUUACGGCCAUAGAACUCUUUGGGCCGUAAACUCCCUCACACAUGAGGUUCUAAGAAUUUUAACUAGCCCAAAACUCAUCUAGGUACUUGCCCUAAAAGUCUCUUGGCCUAAGGAAGUGUCUAGGGUGUCCUUUGACCCCUUUAAAGGAGUUUACGGCCCAAGAAAUACUCUUGGCCGUAAACUCUUCAACACUUGAGCUUUUCAUGAUUUUUCUAGGUCCUAAACACAUUAAGGUACUAGCCAAAAAUGAAGACUAAGCCUUAGGAAGAGUUUGAAGGGAUUUUGGCCCUAAAUCUUGGAGUUUACGGCCUAAGGAGCAUCUUGGCCGUAAACUCCCUUCCAAUGUUGGUUUCUAAUUGUUUUGUUGGUCUAAAACAUGAGUUUAAGGCUUCUAGGUUCUUGUUCUAAGGCUAAAGGAACACUAGGCACUCAUUUGUGCCCUUUACUUGGAGUUUACGGCCCAAGAGGUGGUUCCUUGGCCGUAAACUCCUCAAACUACUUGGUUUUGAUUUUCUUCUAGCCUCUAAUGAUCAUACAUAAAGUCCUUAGUUAGAUGCCUAACACGGAAAUGGGACUAGGUGGCCUUUAGGCUUGAUUUUGGAGUUUACUCCCCAAGAACGUUCUUGGGCGGUAAACUCCCGGAUCUUGUAAUUUGGACAUGUCAAUAAUGUUAUUAAGCAUAUAACAAGUAUUAAAACACAUCUAUGAAAGUAGAUUCACAAUCUGGGAUGAAAACCCGAAGAUCCGUGAGAGAGAAAUCGGCUUUUCUCUAAUUGGAAUUCAAUUAAUGAACCAAUUUGGUUCAGAAUUCUAUUUAUAGUCCUGAGAUUUUUGGCAGAAAAUAUUUCUAUUCUUGGAAUGGAUUCUAAUGACCUAGAGUAAUGGAAUUACAGUGUUGCACAAAAUCCUAGUGCAUCCACUCUCCUAAUAACUCCGUAGGUGUAAAACCCUAAAACUGCCAAACUUAUUCCAUAAGUCUGAAUUUUCACUGUAACUGCUCUACUUCUAUAGGAUUGAAUUGGUUUGAUUUUAGAAUGGAAAUUUCGGGUUGUCACACAACCUAUCCUCUCAAUCACAGUCUCCUUCUUAAUCAGCUUCCUUCUUCCCGCUCUACCUUUGGUCAUAACAACACUCACACGUACA